rnacentral:rRNA from 1 species
CGGGGGGAGCAAGCGUUGUUCGGAUUUACUGGGCGUAAAGGGCGCGUAGGCGGUCAGCACAAGUCAGUUGUGAAAUCUCAGGGCUUAACUCGGAAAGGUCAACUGAUACUGUGCGACUAGAGUGCAGAAGGGGCAACUGGAAUUCUCGGUGUAGCGGUGAAAUGCGUAGAUAUCGAGAGGAACACCUGCGGCGAAGGCGGGUUGCUGGGCUGACACUGACGCUGAUGCGCGAAAGCCAGGGGAGCGAACGGGAUUAGAUACCCCGGUAGUCCUGGCCUUAAACGAUGGAUGCUUGGUGUCUGGAGUUUUAUAGUCUCCGGGUGCCGUAGCUAACGCGUUAAGCAUCCCGCCUGGGGAGUACGGUCGCAAGACUG